GGGGGGGGGGUAAAAAGUGACUAUUUGGUUUGUUUUCAGAAACUGUCAUGAGUGUAUCCACAGUAAAUGGCUUAUUAAUAAACUUUUCAAUGUGUGAUGUAGCUGCAACUAAUUAUUUUAUUUAGCAUGGGCUGAAAUGCACAGGAAGGUCUGAGCUGAGAAGGAGAUAAUUACACUCGGCUGAGGGCUCCGGCCUCUGGUUUCGUAGAAGGUGCUUUUCUGUGAGCUUGCUUUCAGUAUUAGCUUGAGGGAUAGUAAAUCUUAAUAUAAGCGUGGGGGGGGAUUUUUGAGAAGCAUUUUUGUGUUUCUGGUUGAAGAGCAGAAACUUUUUAUUUUCACGGAGCCUUCCCAUAAUCCAUUUUAUUUUUUUUAUUUUUUUUAAAGAAGGCAAAUAUUCAGUUCUGAUUAAAGCAGAGUGCUUAUCAGAGCUCCACAACUACGGGGAUUUUUUUUAGGAUUUUUCUGGGCUCGGAUGAAGGAAUAAAGAGCAAAAAGAUGGGCACGUUUGUCAGCAGGUGAGCUGAGCGAGGCAGCUGCUGCCACGUUUGUGAGGCACUGCAUGUGUCAUGUCCUGCUAUCUGCACUGAGAAAAGCUCCAACAAAUGCAAGGAUGUGGCUGUGUGGAUGCGCUGCUUCCUGCUGUAGAUAUUUGAUGCAGUUAUUGCCUCUAUCAGGUAAUGCUUUGUUCUUACCUGAAUAUUGCCGUGGCCAUUUUUUGUUCUUUUUAUUUUUUUCCCCUUGCCACUGAGCUUUUAAAUUUUUGCUCAGGCAGCAUCAGACGACCCUCCGGUCUCUCUUAGAGCUUCUCAAGCAGCUAAUAUUUGUGCAGCUACGUUCUGACAGACGUAGCAGUGGUGCUGCCCUCGAAGAGAAGCAGCUGAAGCUCCUGAAGGAAAAACGUGCGAAGCUCAACCCUGCUCAGUCAGCAGCACCGUCUGGGGAGCGUGGCAGCAGUCAUCACACACCCAUUAAGCAGUUUCGACCUUUCAAUAGAGAGCUGAUUUUGGAGAACGGCUUAGUCCUGUGAUUGAAAAACUCUUUCUGGAAGGUUGAUGGAGCAGGAGGAUGAGCAUUUCGAUUGCCAUCCAUCGCUUCCACAGAAGCCUCAAUAUUGCCAUUCCAAAUGACUGUCUGUCUUUCUGUUUGUUGACGUGACUGCAGGGAAGGACUGGUGCACCUCCUACAACAGAACAUGCGAGUCAGGCUGUGAAGAAGCCCCUUCAGCCCUAAAAACUCACGUCAGCUGAAACAACCAGCAGAGAGGGAUGGCAGAAUAUUGAACUCGCAUCUAUUUUAAAAUCAGAGCUCCUGCUUGGAGUGGGGCCUGAUGGAGACACCUAAUGGAGUUGUCUGUACACACAAUCCUCUGCUUAUAUUGAGACUUCCUCGGUGAUUUGCUCCCCAACAACAACUGAAGACAUAAGGGUAGAGAUGCACACGCAUGCAGUGGAUUAUGUUCAGCAUAGCUUCUUUGGAGGGAUGACCAGCUGUCCCAGCAUACUGUUGCAGUUAGGUUCCUUUUCCCUUUACAUUCAGAUUCUACAUCACCAAGGUGCUGGACCCUUUUAGCAGAGACUGUCCUGCUGUAUUACCAUAGGAGCAAACACUGGAAAGAAGUCCCAUCUCUGGCCUGCAAAACUACUUUGUGCUUACACAGAUAGCCCUGUUAAUUAAAGAGGGUGAUUUCAUCCUACGCUGGCUAGAAGACUCUUCACAGUGGAAAGAGGGGAAUCUUUCAUUGAGACAAUUGAAAUCGCUGCAGUGAGAAUGGAAAUUACUUGGGAUCCUUUCCUUUUAAAAGCUGUAUGCAAGAACUGUGUGGUGAGUCAAACUUGGACUAAUGGUUAUGUAAAUGUCACUAAUUUUAGAUACAGUCAAGAUCUGAAAGUGUUUCCUUUCAGAAUUACAUUUUCUUCACUGUCGUGACUCAGUAUCACUUGCUAAUCUUGUUUUAUUAGCCCUGUUAUAUAUUGCUAUUAAAACACUUAUUUGAAGACUGCAUAUGUCUUACAACUUUAAGUUUAUACAUCGUAUAGAAUCAUAGAAUCGCUGAAGUUGGAAAAGACCCACAGGAUCAUCCAGUCCAACCGUUUGCCCUUCACCAAUGGUUCCCGCUAAACCAUGUCCCUCAACACAACAUCCAAACGUUCUUUGAACACCUCCAGGGUCGGUGACUCCACCACCUCCCUGGGCAGUCCAUUCCAGUGCCUGACCACCCUUUCAGAGCAGUAGUAUUUCCUAAUGUCCAGCCUGAAUCUUCCCUGGUGCAGCUUGAAGCCAUCCCCUCUAGUCCUAUCACUAGUCACCCGAGAGAAGAGGCUGACCCCCAGCUCACUACAACCUCCCUUCAGGUAGUUACAGAGAGCAAUAAGGUCUCCCCUGAGCCUCCUCUUCUCCAGACUGAACAAUCCCAGCUCCUUCAGCCUCUCCUCAUAAGGCCUGUGCUCCAGACCCCUCACCAGCUUUGUUGCCCUCCUCUGGACACGCUCCAGGGCCUCGAUGUCUUUCUUACAGUGAGGGGCCUAAAACUGGACACAGUACUCGAGGUGCGGCCUCACCACUGCUGAGUACAGGGGGAUAAUUACUUCCCUGUUCCUGCUGGCCACACUAUUUCUGAUACAAGCCAGGAUGCCAUUGGCCUUCUUUAUAGAUGUUUUAAAUUGAGGGGAAAAAAAAGGUUAUCUGCACUGGGGAUUUCUUUUGACUCCGGAGAUCUGCUACUGGUGCGGUUGCACAGGUACAAACAUGAUAUAGAUGAAUAUGAAUGCAAGUUGUUAGAAUUCAUAGAUUUCCAUUGCUUUACCAUUUGGAAGUUCAGCCUGGUAUACGUACUGGUUAAAAAUCUUUUUUUUUUUCCUGCCCCUGCUAUGGAUUUGAAAUAAUAGAACAACGUUUGACUAAAACUUUCUAAUUUAGUUCAGACCUGAGCACUUCUCGAUAGUAAGGCUAUCCAGUAUUAAAUAGCCCACAGCUUUUCAUAAAGUAUCUGUGCUUCUGUGUGCCAUUUACCUACUAUGUGUCUCUUGAGAUGCACAGCCAAAAUGAGGUUGACUACUCCAAAAUGAUUAUCUGGCUCAGAGUUGGAUAACUUCUCUGUAACCGUGCACUGCUGCAGACUGUGGUGUUUGCAAAGGGCCAUCCAUGCUGUCGCUCUCGUGGAUCCAAUAUUUAAUAUCUCUGGGCUGUAUCUCUGAGGUUUCAGAGAGCAUAGAUGCAAAUCUAAAAAGCCAAUCGGAAAGAUCUGUUUGCAUGGUAUUGUUGUGUGAAUGGUGAAAUAGACUGCUUUUUUUCUGGUUCUCCAUGCAAACCCCUAUACUCCCGCAAGGCAAUGAGUGGGAAGCAGCAGCAAUAGGAGCUUGCACUGCUUUGUUUAGCAAUAAUGGCUUAGAACAGUUGAGCUGGGUGAUGAAAAUACAAUUUGAGUAUUUGCAGAACCAAGACUCAAACAAGGAAUGAAAAUUCCAGUCUGGACUGAAUGUCAAGAGUAUGAUUUCAAGUGAUUGUGAAGACCUAUCCAUGUUAUUUGGUUCCUAAACCUUUGAAAAGAAUGUCACCUUUUUUGCUCAGUUCAUAGUUGCCUUAAAUAUUAGCUAUUGUAUUUUCCAGAGAUAAGCCUGCAAGGAUGCACUGUCUCCAGUGGUGGAAUGGAACUCUCCUACAUUUGCAGCUCUGAGGUCCUAUGGAUUUUUCCUGAUUGAAGAAAGGAAGGUGUAUUAUUCAAUCCAAAUGCUUAUUUUUCUGUUGAUCUUAGGAACUGUGAGGGGAAGAAGAUGCUUAAUUCAUAAAUAAGGGAAAUAAAAGAAAGGCUUGCUUGCAAAUAUCUUGAGAUUGUUGCUAUUCGAGAGUGAAGAUAGUUGGUGAGAGGAGCAUGUCUGAAACGCCUGUGCUGAAAGAUUGGAGCUGCAAACUGGUAGGGGAAAGAGAUGUGAAACUGGAAAGUUCAAAGGACUGGUACAGGUUGGGCAAUGAUUUUAGGGAUUUAUUUGUUUCUUGAAGAUGGAAGAAGCAGCAGCUUAACAGGAGGAACCCUGCCUGAUUCUGCAAAGAGAAGGUCAGGCUUGGGGAAAGCAGAUCAACCUUAAGGUUUAUUAGAAUGCUUAGCACUGGAGUCAGGCUGUUACAUAGUAGUUUUUGAUAUGAAAUCACUGUCACUUUCAUUUCUCGUCCAAUUCCAUGCAGAAAAGGGCAACUUUAUUACUGCAGUCUGCUACUUUGUGAAAUUUUGCCCUGAAAAGGCCUCCCAAAAAUUAGAUAGUAGUUGAUGGGCCUCUAGAGAUCAUCUAGCCUAAGCAGGAUCAGGCAGAACAGGCCUCUCAGGGCUGUAUCUGAUCUUAAUCUGCCCCCCUGUGUUAGUCUACUAUGAAGCAAUCCACGUGAUCAUAUGGAAUAUUCAAUGAUAGGACCAGCAUGGUGAGCUGCUGAGUCAGGAAAGAUGUUUGUAGGCUGUGCAAGGAGGAAGCCCAACGCUGUUACAGGUGCUGUAGAAAUAGGUUGAAAAUUCUGUAGGGAAUGGACCAAAGCCUACAAGCAGAGGAAGCUGUGUCUUCAUGGUGACAUGAGACAAGAAUUCCUAGGAAUUGGAUGUUAUAUUUAUUUUUCUGUCUUUAUUUUUGUAUGAUGCUGUACAAGUUACUAGGCCAUUGAUUUUUGUAGUGUUUAUGUUUCUCACUUCACAGGUGACUUUAAGCCAUUGUGUCCAGUGGAAACACUAGAUGUUCACAUUUGCAGCUGGUUUGCUUAAGAAUUGUAAACAUGAAUUCAAACUUGAUGGAAUGUGAUGUCCGUCUGGAGUUUCCUACAUAUUUCAAGUGGGAUACAUCUAACUGUUGGGUACUACUGUAGUUUCUAUAUCUUCGUGUCACAUUUAAAGUAGGGCUGAUAGUCACUUGAAGGGAUGUUUUUCUAUUUUUGCUUGUUUCAAGCUUUGUUUAGUAGAUGUGCUACAGGGAUGUGCUUCCUCGUGGGAUUUUCUAUGGCAUUUAUGACUUCAGAUCACAGAGGAAGAGGUGAGUGUUGUGUGUUACCUUGUUAGCAGUUCAGGUAGAAUCACUUGGUUAGCACCCUAAACAGUUUAUUUCCAUUGGAAGUUAUUUAACAGCUCUCAGUUACAGCUCUGUUUUUCAGAAUCUGACUUGCUUAUAAUAGUCCUGUGUUAAUAAAUCAAAUGUAACUUAUACCUAACAUUGCUCUCUUUUCUUACUGUAAAAUUUGAUCCCUGUAUUCAACAUUUCUGAAAUAAACAUUAAUUAUAGUAA